GUUCGGAAUUAUUGGGCGUAAAGGGCGCGUAGGCGGUUUGACAAGUCUGAUGUGAAAUCUCUGGGCUCAACCCAGAGUCUGCAUUAGAAACUGUCGGGCUUGAGUAUGGGAGAGGUGAGUGGAAUUUCCGGUGUAGCGGUGAAAUGCGUAGAUAUCGGAAGGAACACCUGUGGCGAAAGCGGCUCACUGGACCAUAACUGACGCUGAGGCGCGAAAGCUAGGGGAGCAAACAGG
rnacentral:rRNA from 1 species